GUGCUCUUGGUGCCCCCCCCAACAUGGCGGCGCCCAGGCCAGCACACAGCCGCGCGCGCGCCGCCUCCCCGCGCUCUGAUUGGCCGAGCGCUGCCCCGCGCCGGCCGCCGAUUGGUCGGGGCGCGGAUCACGUGGUGGGCCGGAAAGACGGCGCGGUUGCCGCGGCAACGGGGGCGGGGCUAAAGGGGCGGGGGGUCACGUGAGCGGCGCGCGGCCGGCGGCGACUUCCGGGAGAGAAACGGAACCGAACUGGGACAAACUGGGAGAGAACUGGGAGAGAACUGGGACCAAACUGGGCCAGGAUCCCGGCUGCUGUUUGGGUGUCCCGGCUGUUCCCGGCUGUUCCCGGUGCCGUCCCGGUGUCCCGGUGCUGUCCCGGUGCCCGCCGGUGCCGAUGCCGCUGCCGGUGACGCUCCAGUCCCGCCUGGCCAAGCGGGGGCUGCUCAAACACCUGGAGCCCGGUGAGGGGCGGGGCCGGGAAAAUGGGCGGGGCCGGGAGAAAUGGGCGGGGGCGGGGAAGUGGGCGGGGCCGGGAGAAAUGGGCGGG
rnacentral:lncRNA from 1 species